rnacentral:scRNA from 1 species
NCUGCUGACAGAGUCUAUAGAGUUAUCAGAUUUUUUGUGCGAUGGCU